rnacentral:rRNA from 1 species
AUACGGAGGGUGCAAGCGUUAUUCGGAAUCACUGGGCGUAAAGGACGCGUAGGCGGGUUGGCAAGUCAGAUGUGAAAUCCUACAGCUUAACUGUAGAACUGCAUUUGAAACUGCUAACCUAGAGUAUGGGAGGGGGAGAUGGAAUUAGUGGUGUAGGGGUAAAAUCCGUAGAUAUCACUAGGUAUACCGAAAGCGAAGGCGAUCUCCUGGAACAUAACUGACGCUAAGGCGUGAAAGCGUGGGGAGCAAACAGGAUUAGAAACCCGAGUAGUCC